rnacentral:rRNA from 1 species
UACGUAGGGGGCAAGCGUUGUCCGGAAUCAUUGGGCGUAAAGAGCGUGUAGGCGGCCCGGUAAGUCCGCUGUGAAAGUUCAGGGCUCAACCCUGGAAUGCCGGUGGAAACUGUCGGGCUAGAGUCCGGAAGAGGCGAGUGGAAUUCCUGGUGUAGCGGUGAAAUGCGCAGAUAUCAGGAGGAACACCAAUGGCGAAGGCAGCUCGCUGGGACGGUACUGACGCUGAGACGCGAAAGCGUGGGGAGCAAACAGG